GCAGAAUCCAAAUUUUGUUCUCUUUUAAGCUUAUCUUUCAAGAACCAAUCACAUAUUUUCCCAGCAUUUAACUCUUCAAUUGAACAACCUUCUUGUUCUCCUAUCACUUUUAAUAAAUUGAGAGAUGAAAUCGUCAAUCGACAUAGAAAACGUUCAUGAGUGCUGAGGCCGGACACUUCAACAAGGCCAGCUUCUUCUAGUGUCAA
rnacentral:misc_RNA from 1 species